CUGAACCCCACCACGAGAAAGGGAGGGCGGGUAGCAAGAGGGUACUAGGCUUUGCCUGGAGAAAACGGCCCUAGGACCGCCCUGGGUGGGGAGGAGAAAAGCGCCUUUUGCACGUGAGGAAAGUUAACUGAGGUUCGGAAAGGAGAAGUCACUUGUCCAAGGUCACAGAGUCGGUUACAGAACCGGGACCAGGGGCCAGGUCGCCUGCAUCGAGAGCCAGCUGCUUAGG